UUGCUCUCCUCCUGCUUCUGCUGUGCGUAGGCACGCGUUAACCUAGUCUAAUCCUAAUAAGGGGACGAGGUCGACGAUAGAACGACGUGUAGGAAAAGCCGUGAAGCCCAAACGUCCUAUGUCUCUUGAGAGACGCCUAUACCCGCUACGCCCACUUUAAGUAGAAGUCUAACGUCCAGGGAGAGCGGGAGUAGAACUUAAGAACUACGACCUUAAAAGAACACCAACAUCCGGCGACCUAGGUAAACGGCCUGAUUAGCCGGCCGCUACGUCCAUGUGCUCCGCUUCUUCUUCGAGUUCCGCAUCGACCGUUACCGUGCAGGGGCCGCGGUUGCAGCCACAGCCUCGCGCAUGUUACCACCCGCCACCACGAGCAGUUGCAGCACGAGCACGAGCGGCCCGUCUCGCACCGCUUGGAGGAGCCGUCCUAGAUGAUGCUGGUCCCGCCGCCGUCGAACACCUAGCGGUGCCACCAAGUCAGGACGCCGUGCGGCGAGCGGUAGGGCGACGAGGAGAUGAAGGCCGCGGCGGGUUUCCGGUGGCGCUGGCGCCACUGCGCGGGCGGCGAGGAGUUCUAGAGCCGGUAGAUGCGGCCGGACCCCCAGGAGGAGCGGCCGCUGUUGGACUACAUGAGGAUGCGCGACGAGAUGGACGGCGACAGCUGGAUGAGCGAGCAGACGCGCUGCGUCGAGAGGAAGUUGCGGCAGAAGAGGAUGAAGGAGUUGUUCGUCUCCAAGUGGCGCGAGUAGGAGUUGAGGCAGCACGACGAGUGGAAGAGGCGCCGCGACCAGCCACAGUCGGUGCCGAGCCUGCCCUGGUUGUCGUCGCAGGGCGGCCCCUUCAAGGGCGACCCCAAGCGCGACUGCGACUGCCGCAGCCGCGAGAAGAGGGAGUAGGACAGGGACUACGUCGACUGUAAGCUGUUCCACGAGUCCUCGCUGUGGAAGGUGCUGCACUACCUCUACGUCAAGACCUCGUUGUGGCGGCGCCGGCACCACAGCCACCGGCCCAACAAGUAGAGGCCCCUCACCUCGCGGGACGUGCCGCUCUACCUGCCCAUGUCCGUCCCGUCCCACCGGAUGCCCUACUGCGACCGGACCUGCCGGUAUAGCACCGUCGACUGGUGGUACCCGGACUACCCCGAGCAGCGCCGGCACAGCAGCGAGAAGUGGUUGCACUAGUCGUGACACCCCGACGGCGACAGCGGGUAGUAGCGGCAGUAGAAGGAGCCGCUGGCCUACCUGCCCCACUUCCACGACCGGUACGAGCAACGGCAGACCCCGAAGAACAGGAUGUAGAUGGUCGUGAUGGAACUACUACGGUUCCAGUUCUUCUAUGAUCGACUCUCUAGUCGGCUGCUGCUACUGGUUGUGGCCUGACAUUUUGAGCGAUGUCUCACUUGUUUUAAGCUCGACUUUGAUCUUCUUGUCUCGUAAAAGCCCUGUCCUAUCCUGAAGGAUAGCGACGGGUGAGAUACUACACUGCACCGUAGAAAACCAACCAAUACUAGCGUCCGAAGUGUAGCUUUAAGUCCCCGCACACACACCCGCUAAUCCCCCCUAAAUACAUACAUACGGCACGGCGAUUUACCGGAACGAAAUCCGAACGACAUCGGAAAAGUCGUACUAUGGCACGACGAUUUACCAGAGUACAUGUUUACACAGCGAUAUUGAUUAAACCUCCAGGCGGCGAUCAAUUUUGUGAUUACAUACCUCACCCCGUAAAACCUCCGGCUCGAGGUACCUGUAGUAAUAAAAAUUAAAAAACUUUUAGAGUAAAACUU
rnacentral:rRNA from 1 species